UACGGGGGGGGUAAGCGUUGUUCGGAAUUACUGGGCGUAAAGGGCUCGUAGGCGGCCAACUAAGUCAUACGUGAAAUCCCUCAGCUUAACUGGGGAACUGCGUGUGAUACUGGAUGGCUUGGAUUUGGGAGAGGGAUGCGGAAUUCCAGGCGUAGCGGUGAAAUGCGUAGAUAUCUGGAGGAACACCGGUGGCGAAGGCGGCACCCUGGACCAAUAUUGACGCUGAGGAGCGAAAGCCAGGGGAGCAAACGGG
rnacentral:rRNA from 1 species